UACGUAGGGUGCAAGCGUUAAUCGGAAUUACUGGGCGUAAAGCGUGCGCAGGCGGUUAUGUAAGACAGAUGUGAAAUCCCCGGGCUCAACCUGGGAACUGCAUUUGUGACUGCAUAGCUUGAGUGCGGCAGAGGGGGAUGGAAUUCCGCGUGUAGCAGUGAAAUGCGUAGAUAUCAGGAGGAACACCGAUGGCGAAGGCAGGUCUCUGGGCUGACACUGACGCUCAUGCACGAAAGCGUGGGGAGCAAACAGG
rnacentral:rRNA from 1 species